AUGUAUAUGUGCAAUUAGCAGUUUGUUCUUGCAUGGGUCUGUCAGGGCUUGGGAGACAUUCGGCAUGUGCAUGGGUAGGUUCCCCUGGCUUGAUUUUUCUCUGUGAGGAACCUGGUUCAUAUGCAUCGGCACUGCUCUGCAGCCAAGCCCUCAUCUGAAAGUAAUUGAGUGGCUCUCUUCAAACCUGCCUUGUUGCCCCAACCAAAACAUUAGUGUGAGCCCAGUCCCUGACAGCUCACUGCGGUUGGCUCUCUGUGGGCUGAUUUGCGUGCUGUGUUGACUGAGUUUCCUCUCAGCUCUAAAGACUGUGUAUCAUUUAUCUAUUUUUUUUACAGGUGUCAUUAUGCAAAUUAUGUAUGCAUACAAAUAUAAACACAUAUACACAAAUCUUACGUGGAUAAAUAUGUAAAAACAAACUUCAAUUAUACCUACAAACAUCCAUGUAUAUGUAUAUAUUUGCCAUAAUAUAUUAUUGCAAAGGUAUUAUCUCCACAGUUGAUGAUGGUCUGAAUGCCAUUGCAGCUACUGUUAUUGUCCUUUGGUUGGAGUGAUACCCGUCCAGCACUGCCCUUUAUUAGAAGAUUAUCCGAACUUCUCAGUUAUGCAAACAAACAAAAAUGUAUUCUGUAGGUUUGUUACAUUGGUCACAAUGUGAAGUGCAUUUGUAUGAAUUGAAAGCACAUGGGACUGCAAGCUAUAGCUACAUUACAAGUUUCCAAGGAUAUACUGCUGUCAAUGUCAUUUUUUUUAGCAAAAGUAUCUUCACCAAACCUCAAACUACACCUCAAGAAGCCAAGAAAUAAUAAUGGUGGUUUGAGGCAUGAAACAAAGGAUGGUAUUGUUGUGUGGAGGAAGCAAGCACAACCUAGGUAAGGUGAAGGAGGGAACUCGUUGCUGUUGUGCAGUUCUGCAGCAGGCAAGACCUGAGCUGCAUAAAAAAAAGCAUUUAUCUAUGGUAAUGUUUUUGUCACCUUUUUGAUACUUUAGAAAUAUUCCUAAUUCACUGUCUUCCAGGUAGAGAAGUUAUUUCUAUUAUAUAAAUGAUAUUAAAUAUGUAUAUUAAAAUGUAAUGUCCUUUGGACAGUUCUAACUUGUGGGAUGAAAUGGCAAGGCAGAUGGGGAAAAUGUCUGUGGGAACAGGGGAGUAACUGGAAGAUAAGUGAAAAAAACAGGAUCUGACUAUUAAAGACAUCUGGGAGGUUUGUAUGUCUAAAAAAUUUGGGGAUUUACAAUCACAACAUGCUAUAAAACUGGAGUUGCAAAUCAAACUUCUCUUACUUUAUAUGCCUUGCAGGGGGAGUGAGCCAUGUUUUGUGAGUCAAACACAGAACAAAAUAGAAACCCCCAAAACACCCCAAGCACACUGGGAAGUCACCCAGAGAGAAGAGAUUACGUUUAGAAGAGCUUUUGUUCCCAGUGAGCUAAAGAUAUUAAUACGCAUCUGGUAUACAAUGAUAUCAGCAUACUGAAUUGCAGGAAGAGCAGGUUAUUGGGGAGUCAGGAUCUGUUGUUGAGAUUUGUUUGUACUCAGUAUUUAGCAAAAAGAAAAGGAAUAUAAUUAGAAGACUGUGAACUGGGGUAAGAGUUGUUUCUUCUAAAGAAGAAACAAUGAGGAGAGGAUGUCUGCUGAAAUAGUCUCUUCAUGCAGGCAGCUCAGAGAUGUCCACGGAAGGAAAUCUGUUCAGUAGCCCAUAAUCGCUCUGAGUUCCAUGUAGAUGUUGAUCUUUUGUUCAGCUGAUUUCCUUUUGGUAGCUGUUUUCUGCUUUGCAAUCAAGAGAUAGAAUAAACGGGACUCCUGCUUUUCCUUAUUCUUAUCGAACGACAGAGGAAUCUUAAGGCCAGGUGUUGGUGUAUGCUAGUUGCUCUCCAGGGAACAAAAGCAGCAAGCAGGUGGAGACAGAAUGGUUCGCUUCCAAAUGUUUCAGAGUUCUUGGGCUUGGGAUGUGUUACCUCCUAGCUCAGUUCGACGCAAGGUGGUGGCUUGCAAAAGGAAGCCUCCCAUGGCAGCCUUCAGCCAGCAUAGCUUUACCAGGCUCCCGUUGAAAUGAAGUGAGCGUUUAACUCAGAUGAUAACUGUGUGUCUUGUGGGUUCCUUCACAUCUCCAGUCCGGUUACUGGGAAGUUUUCUCCUCCAACCACCCUUUGACUGUCUAUAAAUAAGUGUAACAAAAAGGGUACUGAGUACUAAUUCACAGUGAAUCACAGCUGAACAGUAUGAUCAGGUGAAUCCCAUAAAGAGAACUGACAGUGUAUUCAGAUCGGGUGUUUGCCAUUCAAGGAUCUGCACCUCUUAUGAUCUAUUUGGGCCCAUCUUUCUCUAGCCUUUAGAAAAGACUUCUAGAGUCUUGCUGGUUGUCUUAUUAACAUGUAGAGAUGGCUAACUGGUGAAUCACAGCUUCCUUUAAGUAGCCCCUGACAUCUGUAGCAUUUUGUCAAAGUGUAGAGGGAAAUGAGAUGAAAGGCUUAAAAUGCUGUGUGGCUUUUCCAAUUUUAAGUAAUGUCAGACAUUCUUUGAAGUAAUUUGGCCUCUUGUGAAAAAUGUUCCCUGUGUUCAAGGGCAUCAAAACCAGGCAGCCCUCCUAAAAAUAGUACAUACUUAUUUGUUGAGUUAAAAGUUUCACAGGUAUCCUUUUUAUGCAUCCUACUUUGUUUAUCUGUGAAGGUGCUCAUUUGUUUGUUUUCCUUGCAAGAUUCCUGAGAACGUUCUUAUACUUCCAAACCACAUUUCUCGAAUCUGAGUAUGGGAAGGGGGUAGUACAUAGAUUACUUGCUGAAUAUACUAAAACUCAAUCAUAUUUAACUACUUUAUGAAGUCUGUUUAAGUUUUGUAACAUUUAACUACUUUAAUUCUAGGCUAGAUCCUCUUUUCUGCUAACUUGUUUUCCUAGUGAAAAAAGAGAAAAUAAUAGGUGCAUUAAUUGUUAGUUAAGGUAGCAGGCCAUGGUGAACCUCUUAACAUUCUCCUAUUUUAUGAGCAUAAAACUUCUAUUUUAAUAAUGCCUUGCAAUAAAGGAUCUUUUCAUGGCAGCUAAAUGAUGUACAAUGGUAAUAUUUCUACAAGAAAAUUAGAUUUUGAUAUUGCCUUGGUUUUCAGUGAAACAAAAGAAUUUGUGAAGAACUUGAAAGAGAAUACCACUCAUCAUCAUGGACAGCUGAUGAAGAAGACGGAACCAGGGAAGAGUGGUUGAGAUUCUUUUUUUCUAGUUAAAGGAAGCAGGAGAUGUUCUUGCUCUAGCAAACAGCACUGACAUGAUCAAGAAUCUCUGAAAAUCCCUGGAGAGAUCUCUCCAAGCACUGUGACAGCAGGGAGGCAGGCAUUCUCUUGCUACUUUAUGAUUCAGUAAGAAAAGGAUGAGGUUCCAGAAGUGAAGGAUGUAGAAGAGAUGACUUCAGUUGGUGCACAAGACAUUUAUUUCAAGUAGCCGUUUCAGGGCUAAGACUUUGCCCACCAUCUUCACCCCCUGCAGUACUCUGGUUUCUGAAACUUCAAGCCUGCUGAGCAAGCCUGUUAGGUUACAGAAAACGAACACAACACAGUGACUGGCUGGGGGCGAGGCACGGAGCUGCUGCUGGAUGCAGUAUCCUCAGAUGGCCUGUUGUUUGCUCAGUGUUUCUCAAAGCUCUGCCUUGUUUUUCAGACAAGAGUAGGGAUUGAAGGCCAC
rnacentral:lncRNA from 1 species